UUAUCGGAGAGUUUGAUCCUGGCUCAGGACGAACGCUGGCGGCGUGCCUAAUACAUGCAAGUCGAGCGGACAGAUGGGAGCUUGCUCCCUGAUGUCAGCGGCGGACGGGUGAGUAACACGUGGGUAACCUGCCUGUAAGACUGGGAUAACUCCGGGAAACCGGGGCUAAUACCGGAUGCUUGUUUGAACCGCAUGGUUUAAACAUAAAAGGUGGCUUCGGCUACCACUUACAGAUGGACCCGCGGCGCAUUAGCUAGUUGGUGAGGUAACGGCUCACCAAGGCGACGAUGCGUAGCCGACCUGAGAGGGUGAUCGGCCACACUGGGACUGAGACACGGCCCAGACUCCUACGGGAGGCAGCAGUAGGGAAUCUUCCGCAAUGGACGAAAGUCUGACGGAGCAACGCCGCGUGAGUGAUGAAGGUUUUCGGAUCGUAAAGCUCUGUUGUUAGGGAAGAACAAGUGCCGUUCAAAUAGGGCGGCACCUUGACGGUACCUAACCAGAAAGCCACGGCUAACUACGUGCCAGCAGCCGCGGUAAUACGUAGGUGGCAAGCGUUGUCCGGAAUUAUUGGGCGUAAAGGGCUCGCAGGCGGUUUCUUAAGUCUGAUGUGAAAGCCCCCGGCUCAACCGGGGAGGGUCAUUGGAAACUGGGGAACUUGAGUGCAGAAGAGGAGAGUGGAAUUCCACGUGUAGCGGUGAAAUGCGUAGAGAUGUGGAGGAACACCAGUGGCGAAGGCGACUCUCUGGUCUGUAACUGACGCUGAGGAGCGAAAGCGUGGGGAGCGAACAGGAUUAGAUACCCUGGUAGUCCACGCCGUAAACGAUGAGUGCUAAGUGUUAGGGGGUUUCCGCCCCUUAGUGCUGCAGCUAACGCAUUAAGCACUCCGCCUGGGGAGUACGGUCGCAAGACUGAAACUCAAAGGAAUUGACGGGGGCCCGCACAAGCGGUGGAGCAUGUGGUUUAAUUCGAAGCAACGCGAAGAACCUUACC
rnacentral:rRNA from 1 species